rnacentral:rRNA from 1 species
GCCAGACUCCUACGGGAGGCAGCAGUGGGGGAUAUUGCACAAUGGGGGGAACCCUGAUGCAGCGACGCCGCGUGGGUGAAGAAGCGCCUCGGCGCGUAAAGCCCUGUCAGCAGGGAAGAAAAUGACGGUACCUGAAGAAGAAGCCCCGGCUAACUACGUGCCAGCAGCCGCGGUAAUACGUAGGGGGCAAGCGUUAUCCGGAUUUACUGGGUGUAAAGGGGGCGCAGACGGCGAUGCAAGCCAGGAGUGAAAGCCCGGGGCCCAACCCCGGGACUGCUCUGGAAACUGCGUCGCUGGAGUACGGGAGGGGCAGGCGGAAUUCCUGGUGUAGCGGUGAAAUGCGUAGAUAUCAGGAGGAACACCGGCGGCGAAGGCGGCCUGCUGGACCGUGACUGACGUUGAGGCUCGAGAGCGUGGGGAGCAAACAGGAUUAGAUACCCUAGUAGGU